rnacentral:rRNA from 1 species
AUUGAACGCUGGCGGGAUGCUUUACACAUGCAAGUCGAACGAGUGGCGGACGGGUGAGUAAUAUAUCGGAACGUGCCCAGUAGCGGGGUAUAACUACUGGAAACGGUAGCUAAUACCGCAUACCAUCGGAUGUGCCCAGAUGGGAUUAGCUAGUAGGUGGGGUAAAGGCUCACCUAGGCGACGAUCCCUAGCUGGUCUGGGAGGAUGACCAGCCACACGGGAACGGAGACACGGUCCAGACUCCUCCGGGAGGCAGCAGUGGGGAAUAUUGCGCAAUGGGCGCAAGCCUGAUGCAGCCAUGCCGCGUGGAUGAAGAAGGCCUUCGGGUUGUAAAGUACUUUCAGCGGGGAGGCGUUACCCGCAGAAGAAGCACCGGCUAACUCCGUGCCAGCAGCCGCGGUAAUUC